rnacentral:rRNA from 1 species
GACGAACGCUGGCGGCGUGCCUAAUACAUGCAAGUUGAGCGCUGAAGGUUGGUACUUGUACCAACUGGAUGAGCAGCGAACGGGUGAGUAACGCGUGGGGAAUCUGCCUUUGAGCGGGGGACAACAUUUGGAAGCAAAUGCUAAUACCGCAUAAAAACUUUAAACACAAGUUUUAAGUUUGAAAGAUGCAAUUGCAUCACUCAAAGAUGAUCCCGCGUUGUAUUAGCUAGUUGGUGAGGUAAAGGCUCACCAAGGCGAUGAUACAUAGCCGACCUGAGAGGGUGAUCGGCCACAUUGGGACUGAGACACGGCCCAAACUCCUACGGGAGGCAGCAGUAGGGAAUCUUCGGCAAUGGACGAAAGUCUGACCGAGCAACGCCGCGUGAGUGAAGAAGGUUUUCGGAUCGUAAAACUCUGUUGGUAGAGAAGAACGUUGGUGAGAGUGGAAAGCUCAUCAAGUGACGGUAACUACCCAGAAAGGGACGGCUAACUACGU